rnacentral:rRNA from 1 species
GCUAGCUGCGAUAACUAGUGCGAAUUGCAGACACAUUGAGCACAAAAAUUUCGAACGCAAAUUGCGCCAUCGGGUUUAUUCCCCUUGGCACGUCUGGCUGAGGGUCGGU